CACCUUCUUCAGUGGUUGCAACAUACAUUAGAUCCUUAUUUGGAAAAUCAGAAUUUAAAGGCUCGUAAUCCUCUAGAGUUUUGCUAGCUAGGAAAUCCGCUAUUGCACUCCCCUUUACUACAUUAUGGUAUUCAUUAUAUCAAAUUCGGAGAGUAAAAUUUGCCAUCGAGCCAUUCUCUCAUUCAACGCGGUCGAAUCCAUCAUGUACUUUAGAGAGUCUAUUUUUGAAAUUAGCCAAGUCGUAUGAUACAACAUGUAUUGUCUUAGCCUUCGGGUGAUCCAGAUUAAGGCGUA
rnacentral:lncRNA from 1 species